rnacentral:rRNA from 1 species
CCUACGGGGGGCAGCAGUGAGGAAUAUUGGUCAAUGGACGUGAGUCUGAACCAGCCAAGUAGCGUGAAGGAUGAAUGCCCUAUGGGUUGUAAACUUCUUUUAUAUGGGAAUAAAACGUUCCACGUGUGGGGUUUUGUAUGUACCAUAUGAAUAAGGAUCGGCUAACUCCGUGCCAGCAGCCGCGGUAAUACGGAGGAUCCGAGCGUUAUCCGGAUUUAUUGGGUUUACAGGGUGCGUAGGUGGAUUGUUAAGUCAGUUGUGAAAGUUUGCGGCUCAACCGUAAAAUUGCAGUUGAAACUGGCAGGCUUGAGUACAGUAGAGGCAGGCGGAAUUCGUGGUGUAGCGGUGAAAUGCUUAGAUAUCACGAAGAACUCCGAUUGCGAAGGCAGUUCACUGGACUGCAACUGACACUGAGGCUCGAAAGUGUGGGUAUCAAACAGGAUUAGAUACCCUAGUAGUC